GAAUUUAAAGCCAAGGGGUGUUUGAUUGUUAAUCAAAAGUUUGUGAUUUUCACUAAAUUCA
rnacentral:tRNA from 1 species